UGCCUGUGCCACCGUAGCCUUCUACAAAUAUCUAUUUUCCAAGUCCUUUCGCAAUUGAUUCCAUUAUUGCAUCAAAGGUCAUUUUCUGACCAUGGUUAACAUUGCUUAUUAUGGUUUGGUGCUCAUUCUUUAGUGCCUCCAUGCCAUAGCUAAGUUUUUCGUUUAUCAUUCUGUUCCCAAGUUCUUCAAGUUCUGUAGCAUUUGGUAGUUCUGUAUUUGGAUAGUCCUUUAGUGUCUUUCCUUCUUGCCUCAUUAGUUUAUCUAUCUCAAUCAGAGCAUAUGCCUUUUUCUGUGAAUCAAUGAGCUACAGCAUAGGAAAGUUAAGGAUAAUUCUUCUUUUGUACUGGAUAUCUUUAGACAGUGCCUCCCAUGUUGAUUCCCUCAACAUCUUUGGGCUGGUCACCUCACAAUGGCAUAAAAUUGUGGUGAAUAAUUGUCGUAAUUGUGUCCCUGAGACCCAGCAUUAUGCUUCAUUGAUGCAUUCAAUCCACUCACUGUCGUCAUCAAGAAAUCCAAGCGCUUGGCAUGCUUAUUUGUAUGUUGGGUGAACAGCUCCAUUAACGGUUCCAAUAUCCUGAUUGAUGUGCAUCCUUUCUUGGUGUUUAGAAGCAUUCUCAUAUAAUACCGGUUGCCACUUGCAGAGUUUGCAUAGUAGAUUCUUCCAAUAGCGAAGCCCCGUUUCGGCUCCCCAAGUUUUGGUUUCGCUUUUCCAUACAAAUUUUGAUGGGAAUUCUGCAUAGUCUCUUGACUGGUGGAUCACGAUGGUGUGUAGAUCAAACUGGAAUAUCCGCCAGUAUGCUCCAGUUGUUGAUAUGUAUCUCAUCUCUAGGUACUUGAUUGACCUGGGCCUGUUGCACCACUCGACAUUUAUGUGACCUUGGAAUUGACCAAAAGGUUGCGGUUGUAUGGUACGACAAAUCUGUUGUUGAGCAUUGCUCCUCCCUUUUUGAUCUUCCUUCCAUUGUCUCACCUUCUAUAUACUGGAAACCCAUCCUCAUGGAUUGUGGUAUCGACAUUGUAUCCUUUUGGGAAGUGUUUAGUGCAUCUGUUGUCGAUCAUGCAU